rnacentral:rRNA from 1 species
UACGGGGGGGGCAAGCGUUGUUCGGAAUUACUGGGCGUAAAGGGCUCGUAGGUGGCCAACUAAGUCAGACGUGAAAUCCCUCAGCUUAACUGGGGAACUGCGUCUGAUACUGGAUGGCUUGAGAUUGGGAGAGGGAUGCGGAAUUCCAGGUGUAGCGGUGAAAUGCGUAGAUAUCUGGAGGAACACCGGUGGCGAAGGCGGCAUCCUGGACCAACACGUGACACUGAGGAGCGAAAGCCAGGGGAGCAAACGGG